rnacentral:lncRNA from 1 species
UUUUUCAAAGCUUUGGACUCUACAAGCAUACUUUGAUUAUCCACGCGCAAGUCAUUGUUAUGAAAGGUUAUGAAAUGGGGCUCUGCACAAAAAUUAGUCGGUCUCUUUCACUCUUUCAUGAAAUUGGUAAACAACAAGGCCAGUAAACGUCAAAAUCCCAUACAAAAUCAAAACAGUGCAGCGACCCAUAGUCGAAAUCAGUGACAGUAUUUGAUAGCAUUUGAUGUUGAUAGCAAAUUUAUUUAUUAAUUCCCUUCGAAUCCAAAAUAGUAAAUAAGAGGGGAUUCUAUAGAGAUUUACAAACUACCGAGAGAGCCCGCCACCCUUCAGAAUUUAAAACGUAAUGUCGUCGAAAAUGUAACGAUUAACAAUUAGUCGGAUUCUCUCUCCUACCAAUUAUGCGUUGAGGUGGUUAAGACUAUUGGAUGAUGAAAUUCUGUGCGUGAGAGUCCCGUUUGGCGUACGAAAAGAUUUUUAAAAGAAACUAUCUGGACAAACAUUUCAAAAGGGCAUA